UGAAAACCGAAACACAAACACAAAGCCUCGCUUAGCAGACAGAAACAGAGGCAGUAUGAAUAACAACUGGAACACAACAACAUGAUGGAAAACAGAACGUGGGUGAGGAGAGUGACAACAUGCUACAGCCUGACAAAUCAUCAUGAGGGCUGAGGUGAGCUCGCUGUGGUCGGUGGGACGGAAAUGGGAAGGCGCCACCAUCUCACUAUGGCCAGAGGUGACCUGAUGAUGGACCUAUGGGUUCAAGGAUCCAUUUUUCUGGGAACACAAGUCAUUUUCUGGUUCCUUCAUACAUCUUUUUAAGAAAGUUGCAAUGAUAAGAAAAAACAUAAUAAUGGCUCAGUGUUUGUACAAAAUUGUACAAUUUGAAUGUGAAAUUGUAGUAACUGUACAGAAUAGUGUGAGUUCUGCCACUCAGUGUGAAUGGACCCUACCUGCACUGCAGAGAAGAACACAGCAGCACACAGAUAAUUCCUGAAUCACUCCAGGUAUAACUGGUGCUAUGCUGGUUCUAGAAACCAAAUCAGACCAUCCUAUCUGAAUACAAAAGGCACCGCAAAGCAGGAAAUCUACAAUUUGGAACUCUGGAAAAAGUCCAAACAAACAAGUCCAUGUGGGCCCCCCUCUGGUUGGAGGACCAAACUGCAACAAACUGUCAAGAGUUCUUCCUUUGACUUUUGCCAGCAGGUCCACGUCUGCAGUGACACACAGCAUAUGUGCGUGCACACGUCUUAGCGCUUCAGGCAUGUUAUCACAAGAAGACAAGAGUGGUAUGACAUCAUCAUGACAUCACAGGGACUCAGUCACCCUCCAUCGUUUUCUGGGCAGUUCACUAAGGGACCUGUAACUAACAGCAAACACACUCCCACGCUCCUCUUGCCUUUACUGAAGAAUUCCAUGCGAUGGAAGCAGAACGGAUUCCUGGAAGUCAUGUUCCACUGCUUUAUGGUGAACAAACAACACUGUAAAGCGGCUGCUGACUGUUGUGGGACAUCUGUCUGUUGCCGUGCCCUCACCACCCACUUCAGACUGAACAACGGUACCAUACAAGUCACACAUUUUCUCUGUUUGCAUACAUUUAGAAGAAUUGGAAAAUAGGACAUGUGUUGCAGUAAGUUAAUACUUUUGGUUUAUUUAGGCUGUUUCUAUUCACGGGAACGUCACUAUGAAGAGGUUGCAGCCAGCAGUAAGAGAUAAACAUGAGAUUGUCUGCAAAGAGGCCAUGACCUCUGCAGAGAAAACUUCUGCAAAGGAAGAUUCUGUCUGUGGUUAUAUUGAUUGUCAUGUAUUUAUAGUCAAUAAUUCCCAAAGUCCUUGGCUUUUAGUCCAGCCUACGCACUAAUGAACUAAUGCUAUGUUGAUUCUAUGCUAAGCCAAGAUUGAUACAAUACUCUCUCCAACACAGUGUACAACAGGUUAUUAUUUCAAAAUUGUUAGCAGUGGCUCAGUUGAAUUGGCCUGUUAGUACAUGGAAAUAGAAAAGAGGUUUUGGCAAUAAUGCAGUUCUGCCAACAUAUCUAUAUUUAGCUUUACAGUUUAUAUCAUUUAAUAUAAACUGUCAGGGAAUGGAAAAGAGUGCAAUGCAUUGUGUGCUCUGCAGAGAAGGUGAUUGGCUGUAACCUUCCAUCUAUGCAAGACCUGCACAUGUCAAGGACUCUGCCACGUGCAGGUCGGAUCCCGGAUGAUUCUUCCCAUCCUGGACAUGGACUCUUUGGGCCACUUCCCUCAGACAGGAUGUAACAGUGUGUUCGGACUAGAACUUCAUGUCACAAAAACAGCUUCUUCCCUUCUGCCGGUGGACUCCUAAAUAAGAAAUAACAUUAUCUUGCUCUGCCAUGUUCUGUAUCACACUCCUGCCUUGUAUUAAAUUGCAUUAAAUGUUUGAAUCUGCUGCACUUACUUCACUGGUUUAUGUUUAUGUCCUAUGAACUUUAUGUUCUAUGUGAGCACCAAUCCACCAAAGCAAAUUCCAAUAUGGUGUAAUAUUCACCGUACAUGGCAAUAAA